rnacentral:rRNA from 1 species
AACGAACGCUGGCGGCAGGCUUAACACAUGCAAGUCGAGCGCAUCCUUCGGGGUGAGCGGCGGACGGGGGAGGAACGCGGGGGGACGUGCCCUCUUCUACGGAAUAGCCUCGGGAAACUGAGAGUAAUGCCGUAUACGCCCGCAAGGGGAAAGAUUUAUCGGAGGAGGAUCGGCCCGCGUUGGAUUAGGUAGUUGGUGGGGUAACGGCCUACCAAGCCGACGAUCCAUAGCUGGUUUGAGAGGAUGAUCAGCCACACUGGGACUGAGACACGGCCCAGACUCCUACGGGAGGCAGCAGUGGGGAAUCUUGGACAAUGGGGGCAACCCUGAUCCAGCCAUGCCGCGUGAUCGAUGAAGGCCUUAGGGUUGUAAAGAUCUUUCAGCUGGGAAGAUAAUGACGGUACCAGCAGAAGAAGCCCCGGCUAACUCCGUG